rnacentral:rRNA from 1 species
UACGUAGGGGGCAAGCGUUGUCCGGAUUUAUUGGGCGUAAAAGGCUUGUAGGUGGCCACGCCAAGUCGGAUGUGAAAGCCCCCGGCUCAACUGGGGAGGGUCACGCGAUACUGAUCGACUCGAAGGCAGGAGAGGGUAGUGGAAUUCCCGGUGUAGUGGUGAAAUGCGUAGAUAUCGGGAGGAACACCAGUGGCGAAGGCGACUACCUGGCCUGUUCUUGACGCUGAGGCGCGAAAGCUAGGGGAGCAAACGGG